CGGUGAUGGUCAGUCCUCCAGUGGUCACUCUGGUGAUGGUCAGUCCAGUGGUCACUCUGGUGAUGGUCAGUCCAGUGGUCACUCUGGUGGUCACUCUAGUGGUCACCCUAGUGGUCAUUCCAGUGGUGGUCAGUCCACUGGUGGUCACUCUAGUGGUCACUGUGGUGGUGGUCACUCUAGUGGUGGUCACUCCGGUGGUCACUCCGGUGGUCACUCUGGUGGUCACUCUGGUGGUGGUCACUCCGGUGGUCACUCCAGUGGUCACUCUGGUGGUGGUCAGUCCCCGCCGGACGCGGGGGGUGGUGGGAAAUAAACGCCGGCCUGAGCCCGGCUACGGCCACUGGGUGGUCAGUGGUCAUUCAAGGGGUCACUGGGUGGUCAGUGGUCACUCAAGGGGUCACUGGGUGGUCAGUGGUCAUUCAAGGGGUGGUCAGUGGUCACUCAAGGGGUCACUGGGUGGUCAGUGGUCACUCAAGGGGUCA
rnacentral:lncRNA from 1 species